UUGUGCUUAGUUCCACCUUGUCUCCAAAUAUAAUAGUAAUAACGUGAAUGUGAAGGCACUCGUGUGACAUGCACCUGCCUUCUCCGUCGCACAUACUACCGCACAGCUAUAUAAUAGCCAUCUACGAGUUCAUGUCUUCUUCCCCAUCUCUUCAAGCCAACUUGUAGAGUUAUUUUUGUUUUCUUAGCCAAUCUUCCCUCUCCCUCCCUUCACAAUCUGUCUUGCUUCACUCUGCUCCCUCUGCAGCGCUGUCCCCGUGGCCUAGCUUUAGGUUUGGAGAAUGGAGGACAAGGAUCUCGGUCACUUUCUAUGGCUUACCUGUGAUAACGAUUUGGUAAGGAGAAGAGAAAGGAUAUACUAAUACUCUUCAGUUCUGCUUCUCAUGUUCCUUCUUUUACUUGCAGGAUACCUAUUCCAAGUCCGUUGUAAUGGGAGGACUCGUCGUUGUUUCUGUGAUCACCAGCAUCCACUUGCUUGGCUACACCAGACAUGGAUGCAAUAUUUCGUGUUACUAGUCUCGAAAUGGUGCUAUCUGUACUGAGCUUUUCACCUCUUUGCAUGUUGUUCUCUUUUUCAUGUUGUUAUCUCUUCCCUUGCAAGUCUUCUUGACCUUGUAAGACCUUUUCUUGACCUUGUAAGGCCUCAUUCCUCGAUCUCCACCCUCGUCCCCGACGGUCUUUGGUUCCCUCUCUUCUCGCUUCCCACUUGCCCUCCUCUCCCGUCUAUCCCUCUUGAGCAGUUUACGUGUGACUGUGCUCGUGGUUGCAAUGUUGUUUCGCCUGCCUCUUUCGUCUCACAUGUUGAUGAUGAUGGAUGAUUGACCGCUCGAGUCUGUCGCAACGUAUGAAAAGUCUUGGAACAUCAUCUGCACUCUUUUUUGUGUGGUAGCUUUCACUGUUCCAACUGGCAAAUGUAUGUACGUAUGUAUGUAUCUCUUUGGGUUUAAGUUCUUUUGGUGUGUUCUAAAAUGGUGCUGGAGCCUGUAAGAAAACAAAGAUAAACUCCAUAAAAUUUGAUGUCGAUGAGCUCUCAUGGGCUUGCAUGCAGUCACUGAAUUUGAUGCCGAGAUCGCUCUCAAUCUCGAGCGAUCCACCUCGGUUUCUGCGACACGCGAGGAUAUCACAAAGCAAGCCAUGGGUUUUAGCAGCGCCGAGAUUGGCAGCAUGCAGGAAAAAGAAGUAGCAGGGUUUGUCAUCUCAGAUGACAAGAUGGUGAGAUAGCAGACCCAUCGAGGAUGAUGACGGUGACGAUGAUGGCUCAGAAUCCAUGGGAGUAACAUCUGAUCAAGGAAAGCUUUCAUAGGAUGACGAUGAUGCCUUUGGCACACAUUCAUCAUGAGGUCACCAUCAUAGAUGAGGACUUCUCUGCUGAAGGACGAAGGCGUCGUUUCAUGUAUUUGGAUUCCUCGAGCAUCCAAUGUUGCGCUCUUCCUGUUUGCUUUACACUUCUAGAUGACAACAGUUAUGCCUAUAAUAAUAACAAUAAUUCCUAAUAUUCUAAUUA